UCGGUCCGGAAUUUCACCACCAUCGUCAAUCCUACGCAUCCCUGUGACGUUUCUAGGGUUAGGGCUAGGAUUUGGGUUGGGUUUUCUGAGAAUUCCAUGGAGGCUGCUUCGACCUCUAGAAGACCGCUCUUCCGCUACUGUUACUGUAACUGCUUGAAGCGUUCUUGUCGUUGUUUCUGCUGUUGCUACUGUUGUUCACGCCCUUGAACACAUUCCCAACUAGGGUUAGGGCUAGGAUUAGGGUUUUGCGUUUUAUAAUGGAUUUGAACUCCAGCUCCAAUCUCUCUCUUGGGUUCUCAUCGUCUUCAUCGGUGCAAAUAGCCGACGAUUCUAUCGCUUUUCAGAUUGAUUCCAGCUUCCGCGAAUCCACGAACCCGAUGCCAACCGCGCCACUGCAGUUGUUGGAGGAGAAUCACAGGGGCGAGAAUGGUGGAGGCGGGGGAGAGAGCGCGGAUGAGGAAGAGAAGGUGGAGGAGUUCAGGAUAUUGGGGCAUUCGAUGUGCUUGAAGAGGCGGAGAGACGGGGAGGUCACUUGUUCGGCGGUGAGAAGAGAUCCGAUGGAGGCGGAGCUCGAGGCGCGGCGGAGCGCUGUGAGGGCGUGGGGAAACCAGCGGCUCUGCGUGGCCGAUCCUGAUGUGUUUGAUAUUAUGGAAAAAGAGAAGCGGAGGCAAUUCAAGGGAAUUGAGUUGAUCGCUUCGGAGAAUUUCGUGUGCAGGGCGGUGAUGGAAGCCCUGGGAAGCCAUUUGACGAAUAAGUAUUCCGAGGGAAUGCCGGGUGCUAGGUAUUACUGUGGGAAUCAGUAUAUUGAUGAGAUUGAAUGGCUUUGUUGCAAGCGCGCAUUGAAGGCAUUCGAUCUUGAUCCGGAGAAUUGGGGAGUGAAUGUUCAGCCAUAUUCAUGUACUUCUGCAAAUUUCGCAGUUUACACAGGUUUACUUCUUCCGGGUGAUAGAAUCAUGGGGUUGGAUACUCCAUCAGGUGGAAAUACUAGUCAUGGGUACUACACUCCUAAUGGCAGGAAAGUUUCGGGGGCGUCUAUCUUCUUUGAGAGUUUACCCUAUAAGGUGAACCCACAAACUGGGUAUAUAGAUUUUGAUAAGCUUGAAGAGAGGGCGCUUGAUUUUCGCCCCAAGAUUCUUAUUUGUGGUGGGAGUUCAUAUCCUCGUGAAUGGGAUUAUGCUAGGUUUAGACAGAUUGCUGAUAAGUGUGGAGCAGUGCUUUUGUGCGACAUGGCUCAAAUUAGCGGACUUGUUGCGGCUAAGGAAUGUGUAAACCCUUUUGAUUACUGUGAUAUUGUUACCUCAACAACUCACAAAAGUCUACGGGGUCCCAGGGGAGGCAUAAUUUUUUAUAGAAAGGGUACAAAGCCAAGGAAAAGAGGGAUGAUUCUAAGUCAAGGAGAUGAUAAUGAUCACUAUGACUAUGAGGAAAAGAUAAACUUUGCUGUUUUCCCAUCAUUGCAAGGGGGCCCUCACAAUAACCACAUUGCUGCCCUUGCAAUAGCCCUAAAACAAGUGGCUACUCCAGAGUACAAGGCAUAUAUGCUGCAGGUAAAGAAAAAUGCUCAGGCUUUAGCAUCUGCUUUACUGAGAAGAAAAUGUAGGCUGGUAACUGGAGGCACAGACAACCAUUUGUUACUUUGGGAUCUUAGAACUCUGGGAUUGACAGGUAAGAACUAUGAGAAGGUCUGUGAAAUGUGCCACAUUACACUCAAUAAAAUUGCUAUAUUCGGUGAUAAUGGCACUAUUACUCCUGGAGGUGUAAGGAUUGGUACUCCUGCUAUGACAUCAAGAGGUUGUCUAGAGGCCGAUUUUGAGACAAUUGCUGACUUUUUGCUCAGAGCUGCACAGAUUGCAAGUGUCGUACAGAGAGAGCAUGGGAAAAUGCAGAAGGCUUUUCUGAAGGGCCUUGAGAGCAAUAAAGAUAUUGUUGAGCUCAGAACCCGAGUUGAAAUUUUUGCUACUCAAUUUGUAAUGCCAGGAUUUGAUGGUUGAAAAUCUUUUUGAGAUUGCAUCCUGUUAAGGAUUGCCAUCUUCCAUUCAUGACAGUCUUCUGCUGCACAUGAGUGAUGCUGCCAUGUUGAUGGGGGGCAAGCCAUUUUGGUCAUUCACUGAUCCGCUUAUAUGGGCAAAUGGCCUUGGUGACAGCGGACCAGCAAUACAAGGUGCCUUUCAGCCUCAAAACGGUUGAUGAUUAUGAUGUUUGCAGAACAGUGAUUGCUGAGCAACUGAAUCCUCCAUGCACCUCUGAAAGUUUUUAAAGCCUUGCUAAAUAUUUAUUUGUGAAUCUGAUACACACCAUGGAUUAGGGUCUUAGUAAACUUUCAAAUAACUUCCUGUAUUCUCACUCUUCACAUUUCUUUUUUAACUGCCCCAAAUAAUAGCAAUUGUCAUGCAGCAGAAAACCGGCUUUGAUUGUAUUUGUAUACUGUUUUCUGGAACUUUGCAUUCCCAAUUAGUCCUUGACGAAGCAUUUUAGGUAAACAAUUACAUGAUACAUCACCCAUUUUGUUUUGCUGCGGUGACCUGAGGCUUGUGCCCUCGUGCUUUUCUGCAGUUUAUCAUUACAUUCAAUCAUCUGUGCUGGUUUUUGCCCA